AUGCAUCAGGUCCAGAUGCAGCUACAUGACAUUCCGCAAAUUCUGUACUCUCAUGGAGCACUGAGGCCACUCAGAGCCGAGUCAGUGGCAGUUCCGCCCUCAGCUUGUGGGUGCUUCCUGAUUCUGACACGCCUUCCCUUCUCUGCGAUACUUGAGAGAUUGCUGCACUCGUCACUAUUUGUCAUUGUGUGGAACAGCUUUGAACUGGAAACACGGACAAACAUUGCUACGGACUACAGAUUUACAAACACGGAAUGCGCCAUGAGGAAUCUUCUCGCACUGCUCCUCAUCAUUACAACAAUCUUCAGGACUCAGCAAAACUCGGUGGAGCAGCCAGAUCUUGAAAUGACAGUUAAAGAGGGAGACAAUGUCACAGUAACCUGCAGCUUGAAGACAAGCGAUUCCACUGCUUAUACUUACUGGUACAGUCAGUUCCCAGGGCAGCCUCCACAGUUGAUGGUUUACAUGAUUGCAGAAACGAUUCUGAACAGAAAUCCUGAUUUGUCUGACAGAUUCUCAUUCAAAUUUACGAAAUCCACGAAGGUUACUGAGUUAGCAAUCAACAGUACUACCUUCGAUGACUCCGCUGUGUACUUUUGUGCUAUGGAGCCCACACUGAUGCAGAGUUAUGGCACAGCCUCGACAUAA